UUAGAAUUUUACACACAUCAGUGAUUAACUAUUGACAAAAAUCUAGUAUACAAUUUAGACAGAUGGGAAAUGAGCUGCAUUUGAAGGGAAUUAGUAAAGGAUAUAUAGAGGGUGGAGAAUUAGAAAGUGUCUUUCUUUCUCAGUGGAACCAAAACCAGUUGGGUUCUUUUCUAGAAUCAUGAUUCCAACACUAUUCUGAUGUAGAAGCAAAACCAUAGGCUUUAGAAGAAUAUUUAACUUUCCACAUUUUCUAAAGUCACUAGGAAGUCUCCCUCAGUUAUUUCUCAUUCUACAUGCUGAUUGACUACAAACCCCACUGGUGGUAAACAUCUAGAUGUUGCUGUGCCUGUGUUUUAAAAUUUUUAUUUGUUACUGUCUUUUUUGACAGGACAUAGCUACAGAAGAAGAGAAGAGAAAAAUCUAGUUUGAAGAGAGUAUAUGUACCAAUCCAUCUCACCCAUUAAGUAUUGAUAAUUUUACAUUACAAUUUUAAAAUGACAAGGAAUUAUUGCUCCAGUACCAGCCAGUCUGAAACAGAAGCAAGUCUGUUUUCCUUCCCCUGUGGUUAGCACAGAGUGUCUGGACAAAUAGAAGAUUAAAUUCUUAAAAUAUGCACCCAAAUGAGGCUGAGGCUGGGUGUGUUUUCAUAUUGUUCUACAACCAAACACAGAUGUUAAGUGGUAAUAUUGGUGGAGGACCAAGAAAGAGCAUUUUCAAGCACUUUCCAUGUGAGGGACUGCUGGAGAGAACUGAUUUACUGAGACGACAUGGCAUUUAAGCUGAAAAAAGAGGAGGAUGUGGAGUCAUUGCAAGAAGGAGGAAAAAAACAGUAUGAUUAACAUAUAAUAUAUAUAAAAUAUCAGUAGUAUUUGAUGUUGAAAAAGAUUUAUUCUUUUUGACAUGUAAUGUCAAUUCCAUUGUAUUUAUUAAAGUAUGAAA